rnacentral:rRNA from 1 species
UACCGCGGUUAUACGAGGGGCUCAAAUUGAUAUUUUACGGCGUAAAGCGUGAUUAGAGGAAACAAAUACUAAAGCCGAAUAUUUCCCUAACUGUUAUACGUUUUAAGAAACACGAAGCCCCGCAACGAAAGUAGCUUUAACCCACAACCUUGAACUCACGAAAAUUAAGAAA